rnacentral:rRNA from 1 species
GAUGAACGCUGGCGGCGUGCCUAAUACAUGCAAGUCGAGCGAACAGACGAGGAGCUUGCUCCUCUGACGUUAGCGGCGGACGGGUGAGUAACACGUGGAUAACCUACCUAUAAGACUGGGAUAACUUCGGGAAACCGGAGCUAAUACCGGAUAAUAUAUUGAACCGCAUGGUUCAAUAGUGAAAGACGGUUUUGCUGUCACUUAUAGAUGGAUCCGCGCCGCAUUAGCUAGUUGGUAAGGUAACGGCUUACCAAGGCAACGAUGCGUAGCCGACCUGAGAGGGUGAUCGGCCACACUGGAACUGAGACACGGUCCAGACUCCUACGGGAGGGAGCAGUAGGGAAUCUUCCGCAAUGGGCGAAAGCUUGACGGAGCAACGCCGCGUGAGUGAUGAAGGUCUUCGGAUCGUAAAACUCUGUUAUUAGGGAAGAACAAAUGUGUAAGUAACUAUGCACGUCUUGACGGUACCUAAUCAGAAAGCCACGGCUAACUACGUG